AGGGAGUUUGAUCCUGGCUCAGGAUGAACGCUGGCGGCGUGCUUAACACAUGCAAGUCGAACGAAGCAACUUAUUACGAUCCCUUCGGGGUGACGAUUUGUUGACUGAGUGGCGGACGGGUGAGUAACGCGUGGGUAACCUGCCUUGUACAGGGGGACAACAGUUGGAAACGACUGCUAAUACCGCAUAAGCGCACAGUACCGCAUGGUACAGUGUGAAAAGUUAUUUCGGUACAAGAUGGACCCGCGUCUGAUUAGCUAGUUGGUGAGGUAACGGCCCACCAAGGCGACGAUCAGUAGCCGACCUGAGAGGGUGACCGGCCACAUUGGGACUGAGACACGGCCCAAACUCCUACGGGAGGCAGCAGUGGGGAAUAUUGCACAAUGGGCGAAAGCCUGAUGCAGCGACGCCGCGUGAGCGAAGAAGUAUUUCGGUAUGUAAAGCUCUAUCAGCAGGGAAGAUAAUGACGGUACCUGACUAAGAAGCACCGGCUAAAUACGUGCCAGCAGCCGCGGUAAUACGUAUGGUGCAAGCGUUAUCCGGAUUUACUGGGUGUAAAGGGAGCGUAGGCGGUUUUACAAGUCUGAUGUGAAAGCCCGGGGCUCAACUCCGGUAUUGCAUUGGAAACUGUAGAACUAGAGUGUCGGAGGGGUAAGUGGAAUUCCUAGUGUAGCGGUGAAAUGCGUAGAUAUUAGGAGGAACACCAGUGGCGAAGGCGGCUUACUGGACGAUUACUGACGCUGAGGCUCGAAAGCGUGGGGAGCAAACAGGAUUAGAUACCCUGGUAGUCCU
rnacentral:rRNA from 1 species